UACGGGGGGGGCAAGCGUUGUUCGGAAUUACUGGGCGUAAAGGGCGCGUAGGCGGCUCGCUAAGUCGGAUGUGAAAACUCUGGGCUCAACCCAGAGCCUGCAUUCGAAACUGACGAGCUGGAGUUCUGGAGGGGAAAGCGGAAUUCCUGGUGUAGCGGUGAAAUGCGUAGAUAUCAGGAGGAACACCGGUGGCGAAGGAGGCUUUCUGGACAGAAACUGACGCUGAUGCGCGAAAGCUAGGGGAGCAAACAGG
rnacentral:rRNA from 1 species